GAGGGAAACAACCCAGACCGCCAGCUAAGGUCCCCAAGACACAGUUAAGUGGGAAACGAGGUGGGAAGGCAUAGACAGCUAGGAGGUUGGCUUAGAAGCAGCCAUCCUUUAAAGAAAGCGUAAUAGCUCACUAGUCGAGUCGUCCUGCGCGGAAGAUGUAACGGGGCUCAAACUGUGCACCGAAGCUGCGGAUAUCGAAAGAUAUGGUAGGGGAGCGUUCUGUAGGUCUGUGAAGGUGACUUGAGAAGGUUGCUGGAGAUAUCAGAAGUGCGAAUGCUGACAUGAGUAGCGAUAAAGGGAGUGAAAAGCUCCCUCGCCGAAAGCCCAAGGUUUCCUACGCAACGUUCAUCGGCGUAGGGUGAGUCGGCCCCUAAGGCGAGGCAGAAAUGCGUAGUCGAUGGGAAACAGGUCAAUAUUCCUGUACCGAUUCUAGAUGCGAUGUGGGGACGGAGAAGGUUAGGUCAGCCAACUGUUGGAAUAGUUGGUUUAAGCGUGUAGGCGUGCCCCUUAGGCAAAUCC
rnacentral:rRNA from 1 species